GUGGGAUCAUUGCUUCUAUCCCAUAGGCUAAAUUGAAAGGAGAUUCUCCGAUCGGAACACGGGGUGUUGUUCGAUACGCCCAUAGGAUCGAGUGCAAUUCCUUGACCCAGAGGCCUCUGGCUUCGUUCAGUCAAGUCUUCAAUCCAUGGAGAAUGGUCCGGUUGCUUACUUCGACUUCUCUAUUGGACUGUGGAUGCCCGACC
rnacentral:lncRNA from 1 species